rnacentral:rRNA from 1 species
AACGAACGCUGGCGGCAUGCCUAACACAUGCAAGUCGAACGAGACCUUCGGGUCUAGUGGCGCACGGGUGCGUAACGCGUGGGAACCUGCCCUUAGGUUCGGAAUAACUCCCCGAAAGGGGUGCUAAUACCGGAUAAUGUCUUCGGACCAAAGAUUUAUCGCCUUUGGAUGGGCCCGCGUUGGAUUAGCUAGUUGGUAGGGUAAAAGCCUACCAAGGCGACGAUCCAUAGCUGGUCUGAGAGGAUGAUCAGCCACACUGGGACUGAGACACGGCCCAGACUCCUACGGGAGGCAGCAGUGGGGAAUAUUGGACAAUGGGCGAAAGCAUGAUCCAGCAAUGCCGCGUGAGUGAUGAAGGCCUUAGGGUUGUAAAGCUCUUUUACCCGGGAUGAUAAUGACAGUACCGGGAGAAUAAGCUCCGGCUAACUCCGU